rnacentral:rRNA from 1 species
CAUCACUACGCUAGAUGCAUAUCAAUAAGCGGAGGAAAAGAAACUAACAAGGAUUCCCCUAGUAACGGCGAGUGAAGCGGGAAGAGCUCAAAUUUGAAAUCUUAAAGGGUUUCCCUUUACGAAUUGUAGUUUAAAGAAGUGUUUUCUGUUGGAGUUUCGGUAAAAGUUCUUUGGAAUAGGACAUCAUAGAGGGUGAGAAUCCCGUAUUUGACCGUUACUUUCCAGCUGUGUGAUACACAUUUCAAAGAGUCGAGAUUUGUUUUGGGAAUGCAGUCCAAAAUGGGUGGUAAAUUUCAUCUAAAGCUAAAUAUUGGCGAGAGACCGAUAGCGAACAAGUACCGUGAGGGAAAGAUGAAAAGAACUUUGAAAAGAGAGUUAAACAGUACGUGAAAUUGUCAAAAGGGAAGCGUUUGACACCAGUGUUGUUUUUCCGAAAAUCAAUUACGAAUGUUUUAUUUUUGAGGAAGUUAUGACUUCAUCGGCUUGCUCCUUUCUUUACUGAAACUUUCCUAAUGCACUUUUCGGUUAACAAGUCAACAUCAAUUUCUUUUGUUGUAAAAGGGUAUGAGGAAGGUGGCUUUCUUUUCGGAGAAAGUGUUUAUAGCCUUGUACCUCUGCAAUCGGAGAGAUUGAGGUCUGCAGCGUAGAUCCUUCGGGGUUAGAUACAUUUAUGCUAAGCUAUAGCCUUGUAUAGACAACUUGUUGACUAUGCUCAGUCAUGUAGCUUACUCGUAGAUGCUAUUUUACCUACGCUUAGGAUGUUGACACACGCGCGUGCUCG